rnacentral:rRNA from 1 species
AUUGAACGCUGGCGGCAUGCUUUACACAUGCAAGUCGAACGGCAGCACGGGCUUCGGCCUGGUGGCGAGUGGCGAACGGGUGAGUAAUAUAUCGGAACGUACCCAAGAGUGGGGGAUAACGUAGCGAAAGUUACGCUAAUACCGCAUACGAUCUACGGAUGAAAGUGGGGGAUCGCAAGACCUCAUGCUCCUGGAGCGGCCGAUAUCUGAUUAGCUAGUUGGUGAGGUAAAGGCUCACCAAGGCGACGAUCAGUAGCUGGUCUGAGAGGACGACCAGCCACACUGGAACUGAGACACGGUCCAGACUCCUACGGGAGGCAGCAGUGGGGAAUUUUGGACAAUGGGCGCAAGCCUGAUCCAGCAAUGCCGCGUGAGUGAAGAAGGCCUUCGGGUUGUAAAGCUCUUUUGUCAGGGAAGAAACGGUAGGGGCUAAUAUCCUUUGCUAAUGACGGUACCUGAAGAAUAAGCACCGGCUAACUACGUGCCAGCAGCCGCGGUAAUAC